rnacentral:lncRNA from 1 species
ACAGAGGAGUUCUUGGCACCAGCACUGGGCCAGCUGUGAGUUUAUCUGUGGUAUCUGGCUUUCAAAGUAGUGUUCCCUGCAGUCUGCCUAAAAGAAAGAGAUGAUCAAGAUGAACGAAGAGGUAAUGUUCACCCCGACUGCUGUGUAGAAAGGCUAGCAUGAUGUGCAAGCAUCAUGCUGAUUUUCACAAGAUUAAAAAAUCCAAAACAUAAGAAAACAAAACCACAGCAUCAUCUGAUACUUGACAAAGAUGCCAAAAACAUCCACUAAAGGGAAGACAGCUCCUUCAACAAAUGGUGUUGGAAAAGCUGCACAUCCACAUGUAUGAGAAUCAAAUUAGACAGACAUAUCUGUGAGUUUAUACAAACACUAACCCCAAGUGGACCCAAGACCUCAGUGUGAAAGCUUGAAGCCGAGCAAUUUUAGAAGAAUAUGUAAACAAUACUUUACAAGACAUAGGUGAAGGAAAUGACUUUCUGAAAAGGUCUCCAUUAGCCCAGGAACUAAGGCCAAGAAUUGACAAGUGGGACCUCAUAAAACCAAAAGGCUUUUGCACAGCUAGGGAAACAACCAAUUGGGUAAAAAGGAAGCUCACAGAGGGGGGUAUGGGAUCUAUGCCACCUGUACAUCUGACAGAUGAUUAUGAUGCAUAAAUAUACAAAGAAAUCAUAAACCAAAAUUAGACAAACAAAAAGGUCCAACAGUGGGCUUUGAGUCUGAACAAAGAGUUCUCAAAAAAAGAAAUAAAAACAGCUAAGAAAUAUGCAAAACAUUUUCAUGAUCUUGAGCAAUUAGAAAGAUAUAAAUCAAAGUAACUUUGAGAUUUCAUUUUACCUCACUCUGACAAAAGUCAACAAAACAACUGUCCACCAAUGCUGGAAAGGAUGCAGGAACAGAAGAAGACCUCUCCUUCACCGUUGGGAUUGCAAAGUGGUACAGCUAUCUGGAAAUCAAUGUGGAGAAUUCUCCAAAUCCUACAAAUAAAUCUACAAUAUAUCAGC